CCGUGGAAGACGCUGCUGCUUCCCCUUCCACCACGAUUUGCACUGGCCAGAACCUCCCCUUCAAUGUUGAAGAGAAGUGAUGAUGGUGGUCACCCUUUUUUCCCUCCUGAUUUCAGGGAGAAGCUUCUCUCCUUGGCGCUGUUUCCCAUCCACCAGCUCAAGAUCAUUCCAGUGUAUCUGAUGAGAUCUCAGACUUCAGAAAAGCGAUUCUUGGAAUGCCAUCUGGCUAACCAUUAGAUAUGUCCAGACAGACACUUUGCGGAUUGUCUUCAGGAAGGAAGAAAAAUAGAAGGGAGUCUCAGAACUAUUUAUACAAUUAUCCUGCAGGCUUUGGCCUGGAAAACAAGAAACUAGGACUUUCAGGUUUUUGAUUGCAUUUCUUCUUUCCUGUAUUUCAUAAAGUUUAAAUUAUAACCAUCUGUUUCAGAAGAUAUAAAAAUCCUGAUUCCAUCUUCUUCCACGUUAACAGAAUACUAACCUGUGGGGAACCUUAUAUCAAUGGAGGCACUCAAUGACGACUAUAGUAAAAUCACAGGGAAAAACAAGCACCAAGCUGCAGUUCAUUGCCCGUCCUGCCUACCUCAUUGGCCUCCUGCACCUGCUGAUAAAAGGGGCAUCUCUCUCUAGAAGGCAUCUCAUCAGGCAGAUGUUUCCCCGUGUAGCUGUAUUGACACUGACACUAUGUUUUCUGCUUAUUUGAUGAUGAUGUUGAGAAGGAAGAGGAUGGCAAUGAUGAUAAAACCUCUU